rnacentral:rRNA from 1 species
CAUCCUGGCAACAGGAACGACCAUAAAGAAGCCGUCGAGAGAUAUCGGAAGAGUUUUCUUUUCUGUUUUAUAGUCGUACUACCAUGGAAGUCUUUCGAAGAGAGAUAUGGUAGAUGGGCUAGAAGAGCAUGACAUUUACUGUUGUGUCGAUAUUUUCUCCUCGGACCUUGAAAAUUUAUGGUGGGGUCACGCAAACUUCUCAACAGGCCGUACCAAUAUCCGCAGCUGGUCUCCAAGGUGAAGAGUCUCUAGUCGAUAGAAUAAUGUAGGUAAGGGAAGUCGGCAAAUUAGAUCCGUAACUUCGGGAUAAGGAUUGGCUCUGAAGAUUGAGAUAGUCGGGCUUGAUUGGGAAGCAAUAACAUGGUUUAUGUACUCGUUCUGGGUAAAUAGAGAUUUUCGGAUCUUGUUCCUCGGAUAGUAGUUACGUAGCCAAUUGUGGAACUUUCUUGCUAAAAUUUUAGGGAAUUAUCGCAAGAUAUAUUCCUUUUAAAUUAUAACGACUAUCAAUUAACAAUCAAUUCAGAACUGGCACGGACUUGGGGAAUCCGACUGUCUAAUUAAAACAAAGCAUUGUGAUGGCCCUAACGGGUGUUGACACAAUGUGAUUUCUGCCCAGUGCUCUGAAUGUCAAAGUGAAGAAAUUCAAGUAAGCGCGGGUAAACGGCGGGAGUAACUAUGACUCUCUUAAGGUAGCCAAAUGCUCGUCAUCUAAUUAGUGACGCGCAUGAUGGAUUAACGAGAUUCCUACUGUCCCUAUCUACUAUCUAGCGAAACCACAGCCAAGGGAACGGGCUUGGAAUAAUUAGCGGGGAAAGAAGACCCUGUUGAGCUUGACUCUAAUCUGGCAGUGUAAGGAGACAUAAGAGGUGUAGCAUAAGUGGGAGAUACUGGUCUUUCGGGGCCUUUGUCACCAAUGAAAUACCACUACUCUUAUUGUUUCCUUACUUACUUGAUUAAGUGGAACGUGUAUCAUUUCUUAGCCAUUAUACGGAUAUAUUUAUAUAUCUUAUGGUAUUGGGUUAUGAUGCAAGCUUCUUGAUCAAAGUACUAAGAGUUUGUUAUAUAAUUGUAAACAAAUUUUAAUGAGAUGAUGGCAUUUCGGUGCUAUUGUCAAUAUUUGAAAUUUGGUAUAACUCCCAAUACUCAGGUAUGAUCCAAUUCAAGGACAUUGCCAGGUAGGGAGUUUGACUGGGGCGGUACAUCUCUCAAAUAAUAACGGAGGUGUCCCAAGGCCAGCUCAGUGCGGACAGAAACCACACAUAGAGCAAAAGGGCAAAUGCUGACUUGAUCUCGGUGUUCAGUACACACAGGGACAGCAAAAGCUCGGCCUAUCGAUCCUUUUGGUUUAAGGAGUUUUAACAAGAGGUGUCAGAAAAGUUACCACAAGGCUAAAUUGGAAGAAGUUGCCGCCAAAUACAACUUGCAAGUCCGUGGUACCCGUGGUGAACACACCGAAGCCGAAGGUGGUAUCUACGAUAUCUCCAACAAGCGCCGCAUGGGUCUUACCGAAUUCCAAGCCGUCAAGGAAAUGUACGAUGGUAUUGCCGAACUCAUCAAGAUCGAAAAGAGCAUGUAAGGUGUUACACCUACGCCAACAACAACAACAACCCCCUAAUAUUAGAGCUUUCGGCUAGGCCAUCCAUCUCCGUAGCCGCUAGAUAAACAACGUUCGGUGGAAAUCACAACCAACAAUCCCAUAGUGUUCUCCUUUUUUUUUUGUAUUCUUAACAACUUGUC